CCAAACGGAGGGGGAGAAUCACCGACUCUCCCCGACAGACGCACAUCCCUGCCUCGGCUGGACUCUGGUCGGUCUCCGCCCCGCCUCGCUGUAGCGCUCCUCCGCCGCCACAACGCAACAGGAUCAGGAGGGAAAAAAGACACAAGCGCAACUGUCGGAUAAGAGUGUUGCUGCCCUAUAGGGAACCAUGAAGGACCGCAUGCAAGAACUUAGACAUGGGAAGGAGACAGGAGAGGAAGAGGAUGAGGUCGCCGUGGGCAUGGAAAAAGGCUUUAUGGACGAGUUCUUUGAACAGGUGGAGGAGAUCCGCGGCUUUAUUGAGUCUCUGGCAGAAAAGGUCGAGGAGGUUAAGAGGAAGCACAGUGCCAUCCUGGCCUCACCCAACCCCGAUGAGAAAACUAAGGCUGAGCUGGAGGAUCUUAUGGCAGACAUCAAGAAGUUGGCCAACAAAGUGCGCUCCAAAUUAAAGAGUAUUCAGCAAACCAUUGAGCAGGAGGAGGGGCAGAACAGGUCAUCUGCUGACCUGAGGAUACGUAAAACACAGCACUCCACACUCUCCCGUAAGUUUGUAGAGGUGAUGUCCGAGUACAACACCACCCAGUCGGACUACAGGGAGCGCUGCAAGGGACGCAUCCAGAGACAGCUGGAGAUCACUGGGAGAAACACAACAAAUGAGGAGCUGGAGAGCAUGUUGGAGAGUGACAACCCAGCUAUCUUUACUUCGGGGAUCAUCAUGGAUAACAUCACCCAACAAGCUAUGAAUGAGAUUGAGACACGGCACAAUGAGAUUAUUAAGCUGGAAAACAGUAUCAGAGAACUUCAUGACAUGUUCAUGGACAUGGCCAUGCUAGUGGAGAGCCAGCUCUAGAGAACAGAGAACAGCGCUCCCCUUCUCCUAUGGCAAGGGGGAACUGAUGAACAACAUCGAGCACUGUGUGCUGCGGGCCCAGGAGUAUGUGGAGCACGCCAAGGAGAGUUUCUCCAAAUGCAAAAAGAUCAGGAAGAUCAGCAAACGGAAGAUGAUCCUGAUAGGAGUUUGUAUUGCAGUAUGUUUGAUCAUCCUCAUUAUUUCCCUCGCAGCUGGACUCAGUUAGAGCCCUCGGAAAUCCCCGCAGGCCACAUAGCUUAGAGCCCCAGACAGAGCCAGAGACAGCAUGUCCCUCUUAGCCCGCGGUUCAAGGCCUUAAGUGGCUUCACCAGUUUGGUCAAGGUUGUCUGCGGGCCAGCU